UUUCCUACAAUUUUGCACUAUUC
rnacentral:siRNA from 1 species